rnacentral:rRNA from 1 species
AUCUGGUUGAUCCUGCCAGUAGUCAUAUGCUUGUCUCAGAGAUUAAGCCAUGCAUGUCUAAGUACAUACCAUGAUACGGUGAAACGCGAAUGGCUCAUUAAAUCAGCUAUGGUUCCUUGCGAUCGUACAUAGUACAUGGAAACUGCAGUAAUUCUAGAGCUAAUACAUACACUAUGCCCUGACCGCGCGAAGGACGGGUAGAUUUAUUAGACAGAACCAGCCGGGGGCGGGCUUCCGUCGUCCCUGUUACAUUCUGUGAUGACUCUGGAUAACUUCACUGAUCGCAGUCAGCCUUGUGUCGCGAUGGAUCUUUUAAAGAUUGCCCUAUCAAUUUUCGAUGGUAGGUGACCCCCUACCAUGGCUAACGCGGUAAACGGAAUCAGGGUUCGAUUCCGGAGAGGGAGCCUGAGAAACGCGCUACCACUUUCAAGGAAGCCAGCAGGCACGCAAAUUACUCAAUCCCGGCAUGGGAGGUAGUGACGAAAAAUCGCGAUAGGGGACUCACUAGAGCUCCAAUUCGAAUUAGUGCAAUUUAAAUACUUUAACGAGGAUCAACUGGAAGGCAAGUCUGGUGCCAGCAGCAGCGUGUAUAUUAAAGUUGUUGCAGUUAAAAAGCUCAUAGUUGGAUCUGGGCGCAUGGCUACAUGCCGUCGCUCUGGUCUGCCUGGUUACUGCCGGGUUGAGCUUGCGGGUCGUCUCGUGGUUGUGCUCCCUUUCUGCUGUGUCUGUUUACAGGUGUCAACCGUGAUGGCUCCUCUAGCUCGCUUGGCAUGCUUCUCGGGCCUUUAAUCGGGUGUCGGAGGCGGACAUCACGUUUACUUUGACAAAUUUGAGUGCUCAUAGCAGGCCUUUGUGCCUGAAAACUCUUGCAUGGAAUAUGGAAUAGGACUUCCGUUCUAUUUUGUUGGUUUUCGGAUCGAAGUAAUGAUUGAGAGGACAGGGGCAUUUGUAUCGCGGUGUUAGGUGAAAUUCUUGGAUCGCCGCCAGACAAACUACAGCGAAAGCAUUUGCCAAGGAUGUUUUCAUUGAUCUUGAGAAAGUCAGAGGUUCGAAGACGAUCAGAUACCAUCCUAGUUCUGACCAUAAACGAUGCCAACUGACGACUCGGGUGGUUCUUUAUGUGUCCCGCGGAAACCCUGAAGCUCUUUGAGCUCCGGAGGAAAUAUGGUUGCAAAGCUGAAACUUAAGAAAUUGACGGAAGAGCACCACCAGGAGUGGAGCCUGCGGCUUAAUUCGACUCAACGCGGGAAACACCCCGCCCGGGCACUGUGAGGAUAGACAGAUUGAUAGCUCUUUCUUGAUUUUGUUGGUGGUGCUUGCGGUUUUAGUUGGUGGAGCGAUUUGUCUGGUUAAUUUUGAUAACGAACGAGACUCUGGCUGCUAAUAAUAUUGCCUGUCCUCUGUGCUCGUGCAGGUUCGUUGUCCAUUCGCUGCUCGUGGUGUAGCGGUUACGUUGACCCGGCGGGUGCGCGCAGGUACUUACUCUUUAGAGGGACAAGCGGUAUUCAGCCAAAAUUGACAGCAAUUAACAGUCUGUGAUGCACUUAGAUGUCCGGGGCCGCACGUGCGCCUACAAUGACGGUUUCAGCGAGUUGGAUCAUGCUAGAAUCUGGGUAAACUGUAUCAUAACCGUCGUGACUGGGAUCGGGGCUUGCAAUUGUUCCCGUGAACGAGGAAUUCCUGGUAAGUGCAAGUCAUAAGCUUGCGCUGAUUACGUCCUGCCCUUUGCUACCACGCGCCGUCGCUUACUACGAUUGAAUGGUUUAGCAAGGUCCUCGGAUGGUGCCAUUGGAGUGGCGUCGCCGCUCGACCGGUGCUGAGAAGACGACCAAACUUGAUCAUUUAGAGGGAGUGAAAGUCGUAACAAGGUUCCGUAGGUGAACCUAAGGAAGGAUCAUUA